UACGUAGGUGGCGAGCGUUGUCCGGAUUUACUGGGCGUAAAGAGCGCGCAGGCGGUCGUACAAGUCGCGUGUGAAAGCCCCUGGCUCAACUGGGGAGGGUCACGCGAUACUGUUCGACUUGAAGGCAGGAGAGGGAAGUGGAAUUCCCGGUGUAGUGGUGAAAUGCGUAGAUAUCGGGAGGAACACCAGUGGCGAAGGCGACUUCCUGGCCUGUUCUUGACGCUGAGGCGCGAAAGCUAGGGUAGCAAACGGGG
rnacentral:rRNA from 1 species